rnacentral:rRNA from 1 species
UGGGGAAUAUUGCACAAUGGGCGCAAGCCUGAUGCAGCCAUGCCGCGUGUAUGAAGAAGGCCUUCGGGUUGUAAAGUACUUUCAGCGGGGAGGAAGGGAGUAAAGUUAAUACCUUUGCUCAUUGACGUUACCCGCAGAAGAAGCACCGGCUAACUCCGUGCCAGCAGCCGCGGUAAUACGGAGGGUGCAAGCGUUAAUCGGAAUUACUGGGCGUAAAGCGCACGCAGGCGGUUUGUUAAGUCAGAUGUGAAAUCCCCGGGCUCAACCUGGGAACUGCAUCUGAUACUGGCAAGCUUGAGUCUCGUAGAGGGGGGUAGAAUUCCAGGUGUAGCGGUGAAAUGCGUAGAGAUCUGGAGGAAUACCGGUGGCGAAGGCGGCCCCCUGGACGAAGACUGACGCUGAGGUGCGAAAGCGUGGGGAGCAAACA